GAUGAACGCUGGCGGCGUGCUUAACACAUGCAAGUCGAACGGAAAGGCCCUGCUCUUGUUGGGUUCUCGUUUGGCGCACGGGUGUGUAACACGUGUGUAUCCUGCCCUUGUCUUUCUGAUAUCUUCUGGAAACUCCGGCUAUUAUCCCAUAUAAUCUCCUGCUGCAUGUUGUUGGUUGGAAAAUUUCGGCUUUUUUGGCUGGACUCGCUGCUUAUCAGCUGCUUUGUGUGGUAGUUGCUUUCCAGGCCUGUGACGGGUAGCCGGCAUGAGAGGGUGACCGGCGACAAGGGGACUGAGAGACGGAGCAGAAGCGUACGGGAGGCAGCAGGGGGGAGUAUGGCACAAUGGGCGGAAGCGUGAGGCAGAAACGCCGCGUGCGGGAUGACGGCCUUUGGGUGGAAAACAGCUGUCGAAGGUGACGAAGAGUGAGUGACGGUAAUGGGUAAAGAAGCAACGGCUAACUACGUG
rnacentral:rRNA from 1 species